rnacentral:rRNA from 1 species
UCCUGGCUCAGGAUGAACGCUGGCGGCGUGCCUAAUACAUGCAAGUCGAACGAAGAGACUUUAAAAGCUUGCUUUUGAAGAAUCUUAGUGGCGAACGGGUGAGUAAUACAUAAGCAACCUGCCUCAAUGCCUGGGAUAACUGAUGGAAACGUCAGCUAAUACCGGAUAGGUUAAUCUAAGGCAUCUUAGAUUAAUUAAAGAUGGGAUACAUCACAAUGAGAUGGGCUUAUGGCGCAUUAGUUAGUUGGUAAGGUAACGGCUUACCAAGACGAUGAUGCGUAGCCGACCUGAGAGGGUGACCGGCCACACUGGGACUGAGACACGGCCCAGACUCCUACGGGAGGCAGCAGUAGGGAAUUUUCGGCAAUGGGGGAAACCCUGACCGAGCAACGCCGCGUGAGUGAAGAAGGCCUUCGGGUUGUAAAGCUCUGUUGUAAGGGAAGAAUAAUAGCGAGAGGGAAUGCUCGUUAUAUGACGGUACCUUACCAGAAAGCCACGGCUAACUACGUG